AUCCUUCCUUUAUCGGAGUGAGGAAUGUGAGAAUUGUCCUGAAUAAAUAAUACGAGAGGCGAAAGUCUCAAUCUGCCUCCUCUCUCUCUCACCUCAGAAUUUAGAAUUUAUUAGAACUACUCGCAAUUAUUAUGUGUGCGUAAAAUGAUGAAUUAUUGUGUCCGUCUCUUGGUCCACUUCCUUCAUCCUUGCAAGUUUUCCCUCAUCGAUUUCCUGUCUUUAACGCAUUUUGAAACAUUUUUGUUUUUUGUCCUCUCUCUCCUUCGGGUAGAGAUGCAUGCAUGAGAAAAUAAUGCUGAGGUGGCGUAAGCUGCGAGGGAAAUAAAGUAGGUUUGCUCUGGCCGUGGUGGUGGGUGAGACAGGUCAAACAAAUAGGUGAAAGUGAGCAGAUUUUUGGCACCCUCGUUUAUCAACUUUCUCUCCAAGCGACCGACCGACCCACCGAUCAAUGCAGACCACGACGCGUCGCCCUUGUCUGUCAUGUCAUGGCAGAUUUGACCACGACCAAACCAUGGCCAAAUCCGCCCGCAAAACAACCGCCAUGUAGGUAUGCACUGUGUACGCUAAUGCUGAGCAAUUGGAGCUUUCUCUUCUCGUUCUAACGCAGAGAAGAUAUCUGUCCCGUGAGAAAAUUCAAUUCGUGGAAAUUAUUUUCUUUGGGUGACUUUAUGUCCGUUUUGCAGUCAUUUUACCACCACCAACGUCGAAAUGAGGGGCGGCACACUUACUUGGGGAUAAUGACCAUGAAUUUAACCGAGUUUUGUGUAUUAUUUAUGCGUGACAAUUUAAGCAGGGUUUGAUUUAGACCUAUAGUAGAUGCCUUCUAAAAUGUGAAAUUUAGCAUGCACGCAGCAAAAUGCCUUUGAAAGUCUAAUAUGCAUUUAGUUUUAAAAAAUAGUGGGGGCACCAGCAAAAGUGAAAGCAAAAGGAGAAAACCCGAACUCAUGUAAAAAAAUCUGUCAAUAAAAUAUAGCCGUUUUA